rnacentral:lncRNA from 1 species
GGGAGCCGAACACCUGCGGCCAAUCAAAGAAGCAAGCGGCGAGCGUACCCCUCCCUGGCGCUGAGGGGACAGGUGUGGCGCGAAGGAGGUGGUAGGCGGCGGUCUCUUCAUGGUGGGGCCGUCCCAUCCAGCUCCCCUCGGACACUGCCGAAGCGUGCCGCUCCCUUGCCGUGCCGCUGUGGCACCUCCGUGCUGGGAGCCGCGGCAGCGCCUGGCAGGAGGCGCGCUCAGACCGGUCAGAUCUGGACAAAAAUCAUUUUUCUUCUCUUCACUCACCCUGCUUGGAGCCUGUGGAAGUGGAGACUCAGCCUGGGAAACUGACCUGCUGACAAAAAGUGGAGACAAAGAAAGAUUCCGACCGUGUGAGCAGCAGUUCAACUGAUAUGCAAAAGAACAUUUCCUACAGUGAUGCAGAUCUACAUUCUUAAAUAAAAUUCUUUUGGCCAGGGA